UCUUCUUCUUCUUCCUCUGGCUCUGGCUUCUGGUGGUGGGGGGGAGGAACAGGAAGAACACGGCCGGCCACAAAGGCGUCCCGAUUUUCUCUCUCUGGGUUCCGUACUCUUCUCACCGCAGCCUGAGGAAUCCAUUUUGUCGGUUCUUCUCUUGAUCUGUCGGUGUUCUUGAGGAGGAGGAGGAGAGGAGUGAGGAAUCUUUGGCUUUGUCAGGUGAAUUGGAGCGAGGUGUUCGCAGGGCGAGCUCUGGUCCGGCAAUGGAGAAGGAGGCGAGGAAUCACUACCACACGCGGGGCUCCACCCGCGGCGGCGGCGGCGGCGGCGGAACGGCGGCGGAGCGCGACCUGCUCCUGCAGUGGGGCAACCGGAAGCGGCUGCUCUGCUGUCAAGGUGCACCGCCGAGACGUCAACGCCGCCGCCACCGUGGCCGCCGAGAAGGCCGCGGCUAGCCAGCGCCGUGCGGCCGCCGCCGCGGCGGCUCACCACCACCGCCACCACACAACCGCCGGCCACGCCCACCACCGCGCUGUCAGGAAUUCAGAGGAGUCUGGAGCAAUGAGAUCUUCAGCGCAGCAGCAUCAGAUGAACGGGAUCCGGGCAGUCGCCUCACCUGAAAGAGAACGCCCUGCAAGGGGCAGCAACAUCAUCAACAACAAUGGAGGUCCGCCGACCUCCCCAGAUGACAAGAAGGGUUCGUCGUCAGGGAGCGAGGGGUCGAUCUGGCCCAAAUUUGCAGUCGCCCUGACGAACAAAGAGAAAGAAGAGGACUUCUGGGUGUUCAAAGGAUCCAAGCUUCCUCAGAGGCCCAAGAAGAGAGCCAAAGUCAUCCAGAGGACAGUGAAUCUUGUAUGCCCUGGAACAUGGCUUUGCGACUUGACACUGGAAAGAUACGAAGUCCGAGAGAAGAAGGUUUCUAAAAAGCGCCCCAGGGGGUUGAAAGCAAUGCACAACAUGGACAGCGACUCUGAAUAAUAGGAUCACUGAACACGAAGCAGCUGAACAUUAGAAAGGAGAUAAUUGCGCAUACCCAUUUAGCUGAAGAUUUUUCAGCUUUCUGAUGGAACAAUCACGGGCUCGCCGCUUCUCGCGCUUAAUUUGAGGAGAUCAAGAUGACUGGACUGUCGUAAUUUGGAAGCUGCACAGAAGAACACAGAGGCUGCAGGAAAUAUGUUUGCUCUGAACACUGUCUGCUGUCUGCCUACCAGCAACGCGGCUCUGAAUGUUUUCCAAGUUUCUCAUGUAUACGUCUUGCUACCUAAAAUGUGAAGCACACUGCUCAGGCCAGUCCAGUUUGAUCGAUGUGUAGCUUGCCCUGUGCAUGACAAUAGCAGUUAACACGAAUCUGAUAGUCUUCAAUAUUUUUAUCACCUGGUGCUGUAAAUUCAGAGAGUGAGAUAAUGCCAGGCGUAAAUCUUCUGUUGUAAUUCAGAGCAGACAAAACUGUCGAACGUUUCGAUUUGAAUGGCCAUUGUAUUCCAUUGUGGUCUGAAACCGACUGACAGCUCUACGUCGAGCUAAUUCUUCA